UGAUUUGUUCGAUGCAGAAAGUUCAGAGCUUGACAGAGAAGUAUUUGCAGUAGCCAUCGAAUAUCUAAGAACACAUGGUCAUGCAAUAAGACAGUUUCGUGACCUUCAAUCAGUCCAGGUGGACGCCAUUUUGCCAUGUAUAAGAAGGCUGAUUUUCGAAUUCGGAAGCGAGCCAUGGACGUUCUUUGCCAGUGGUCUAGGUGUCGAUUGUUGGAAAAUACAACAAAGUACUGGUGAAAUGCUGGAUGAACUGACCUGUGCAAAUAUUUUACUUGAUUACGUGUCAGCCGGCUACGAAACAGACAACCUUGUUACUGAUGUCAAGCGACUGAAAACCGAUCAAGUAAAAGAGACUGCAAAGCUUUUGAAACAAGACAACGACUCUUCGACUAUAAAUUGCACUGGAAGCGAAAAUUGUAGCUCAAGACGACACUCCUUCACGAUGAAGAAGUAUUCCAAAUUGUGUCUCGAAUUAGAAAAUCAGAUAAAAGACAAUUUAAGGGAAAAUGAAAACGACAUGCAUGAUUUGAUGUUUUUGCAAAUGGCACAGAUACAAAGGUCAAUGACGAUGCUUCUUCAAAAAGCUAACGUUUCUGCUUCAACUACAUCUUGUUCUGGGCUGACACAAAUUUCAGCAAUGCAAGAAAACGUUGAACAAGCUGAAAUGAACUCAGCAAGAGCGAUGCUUCUUCCGAACGGA